rnacentral:tRNA from 1 species
CGGGGUGUAGCGCAGCCCGGUUAGCGCAUCUGGUUUGGGACCAGAGGGCCGGAGGUUCGAAUCCUCUCACCCCGA